UACGUAGGGGCCGAGCGUUGUCCGGAGUUAUUGGGCGUAAAGCGCGCGCAGGCGGCCUCGCGCGCCCCGACGUGAAAGCUCCCGGCUUAACUGGGAGAGGCCAAGGAAUACUGUUCGACUAGAGUGUGGUAGGGGGAAACUGGAAUUCCCGGUGUAGCGGUGAAAUGCGUAGAUAUCGGGAGGAAUACCUAUGGCGAAAGCAAGUUUCUGGGCCAUCACUGACGCUGAGCUGCGAAAGCUAGGGGAGCAAACAGG
rnacentral:rRNA from 1 species